rnacentral:rRNA from 1 species
GACAGAGGUGCCAAAGCGUUAGGCGGAAUCACUGGGCUUAAAGCGUGUGUAGGCGGGUCGUUAAGUACCUUGUGAAAUCCCCCGGCUCAACCGGGGAACGGCUGGGUAUACUGGCGAUCUUGAGCCACCUAGGGGCAGUCGGAACAAGUGGUGGAGCGGUGAAAUGCGUAGAUAUCACUUGGAACGCCAAUGGUGAAAACAGACUGCUGGGGGUGUGCUGACGCUGAGACACGAAAGCCAGGGGAGCAAACGGGA